GGCCGGUUAGCUCAGCUGGAUAGAGUAUGGUGCUGAUAACUCCGAGGUCAAGGGUUCGAAUCCCUGUACUGGCCC